CCUACGGGAGGCAGCAGUGGGGAAUAUUGGACAAUGGGCGAAAGCCUGAUCCAGCAAUGCCGCGUGAGUGAUGAAGGCCUUCGGGUCGUAAAGCUCUUUUACCAGGGAUGAUAAUGACAGUACCUGGAGAAUAAGCUCCGGCUAACUCCGUGCCAGCAGCCGCGGUAAUACGGAGGGAGCUAGCGUUGUUCGGAAUUACUGGGCGUAAAGAGUACGUAGGCGGUUAUUCAAGUCAGAGGUGAAAGCCCGGGGCUCAACCCCGGAACUGCCUUUGAAACUAGAUAGCUAGAGUCUUGGAGAGGUUAGUGGAAUUCCGAGUGUAGAGGUGAAAUUCGUAGAUAUUCGGAAGAACACCAGUGGCGAAGGCGACUAACUGGACAAGUACUGACGCUGAGGUACGAAAGCGUGGGGAGCAAACAGGAUUAGAUACCCUGGUAGUCCACGCCGUAAACGAUGAUAACUAGUUGUUCGGUCACUUGGUGACUGAGUGACGCAGCUAACGCAUUAAGUUAUCCGCCUGGGGAGUACGGUCGCAAGAUUAAAACUCAAAGUAUAUCGACGNGNGAGAGCGACGACGACGACGACGAGGAGAG
rnacentral:rRNA from 1 species